rnacentral:lncRNA from 1 species
AAGGAGCAGAGCUGCAAAGUGCCUCCCAUGGCUCUGUUCUUCAAGGUUUACCUAUGCAUUCAGCACAUGUGUCGCCUUGGGUAGCUCCUGCGCAGGUCCUUUUCCAGGUGUGGAGCCCAUCCCUCCAAGAAAGGUUAGGGACUGCUCAGGCUUUCAUGCCAUUUUCCUUGUGCUAACCUGCACUACUUUGAGUAGGUCCAAUUCAGUGCUACUAGGGAUCACUAACAAAACUUCACAGUCUUACCUCCCAGAAGAUGAGUCACGGUGUUGCAGUUUGCAUGACUCUUUAUAUGAGACACUCAGAGGUUCAACACAAAUCCAAAAGCCAAUAGAGAUCACCGUUAAGGUGGUCUUCCCUUAG